GACGAACGCUGGCGGCGUGCUUAACACAUGCAAGUCGAACGGAAAGGCCCUGCUUUUGUGGGGUGCUCGAGUGGCGAACGGGUGAGUAACACGUGAGUAACCUGCCCUUGACUUUGGGAUAACUUCAGGAAACUGGGGCUAAUACCGGAUAGGAGCUCCUGCUGCAUGGUGGGGGUUGGAAAGUUUCGGCGGUUGGGGAUGGACUCGCGGCUUAUCAGCUUGUUGGUGGGGUAGUGGCUUACCAAGGCUUUGACGGGUAGCCGGCCUGAGAGGGUGACCGGCCACAUUGGGACUGAGGGACGGCCCAGACUCCUACGGGAGGCAGCAGUGGGGAAUAUUGCACAAUGGGCGGAAGCCUGAUGCAGAAACGCCGCGUGCGGGAUGACGGCCUUCGGGUUGUAAACCGCUUUCGCCUGUGACGAAGCGUGAGUGACGGUAAUGGGUAAAGAAGCACCGGCUAACUACGUG
rnacentral:rRNA from 1 species